ACAGCUCUGCAGAAGGUGAAAGGAACCUCCGCAGAGCAUCUGGGCAAGCCAUCCUGCUAAAGCAGGAAGGUCUCGGUGCACAGCAUCGCAAUGCCCAGGCAGGUUUGGUGUGUCUCCAGAGAAGAAGACUCCACGGCCUCUCUGGGCAGCUCCGGGCCUCCGGCACCCUCCCUGAACUGCCUUGCCACAAAGCAGUAAAGAAGCAGAUUCCUAAACAUUUGGUAGGACAGAAUCUGACAAGCAUAACAUAGAGAUACCUCCAGAGGCAGUGAUCUCCCUUCCCUUUAAGACACAGACUCACCUCUGGACAGCACUGCUUGGAUGAGAGAAGAGGUCACCUGCCAUGGCCUGUGUGGUCUCUGACUGCUCUGCUGACACCGGAUGUGGAGAUAGGAUCCAGAAGACCAAGUUAUGUCCACAGGCAAGUGAAAUGAGAGCAAUUAGUGUGAGCAGACAGACAGGGGGUGGAGAUCGUUUCAACUUUGAAUUGCUCCUGGCCAAGCUGGAGUUAGAUUGACAUCUACAACUGAAAGGCUCCUUAUCUUGUGGUCCCUUCUUUGAGUUUUACAAACAGUUCUGUG